ACGCGGGCGGUGAUGUCAUUGGCAACCAAUCAAAAACUUAAAAGGGCCAGCCGGGGCCCGCGCGGAGCAGCUGCUCUCUAUUUACAUGUAAACCGAACCGGCUGGAUGCAGUUAACCCUUUCCGGGGCCGAAGUGUCAAUGGGCCGGAUCGCUGCUCCGGCUCAAACCGGCUGGGUCCCUGGGCCCGGAGCCCCCCGCGUGCCCCUGCCCCGGGGGUGCGGAUCGCGUCUUCUCUUUCCCUCCUACUCGGGACCAAGGAUCGGAAGAGUCGGAGUAACUUUCCGAGGGCGGGCCCCGCGAGCAGUCUCCGUCCCCGGCGGGGAGCCGGCUCGCCCAGGCGCUCCAGGCGCAAAGGAGUUUGAUAAGGACAGUAGAGUCUUACAUGAGGAGCACUAUAGGAUACUCGGCUAUGAGUUUUCUCUCUUACUAGAUUGAAGGUGUUUGGAGACAUGCUUCGGGCUCCACGCCUGUCUGAACUAUGGCUUUUAGGAACUUUGAAAAGGCUUCUGCACUUUACAUAUUUUUGUGAGCAGUGCUGUUCUAGAGCUCCUUUGAUUUGAGGUCACUUUGGUGCCAAAGGCACCAGAACCACAGAAUGUUAGACCUGAACGGGACUUAGAGCUUAUCUAGGCCAAUAGUUUUCAAACUGUGUUAGGAUGAGCCACAGGGAGUGGAGACACCAUUGCCAGGGGACGAGUAAAACAAGAGUCCUGGUGGUGAGCUAGAGGAGCUCUGAGACCAUGCUCCCACCCCUCACCCCCGACUUGAGAUGUAUUCUUCUAUUCCUGAGACCCUGAGGUAAGAUUUCCUUUGAAGAAAGGAUUCUGGUUGGUGUUUUAUUUUGUUUUGUUUUAACCCCGAUGCACCAUUUUACGGGUAAGUCCAUCUGAGGCCUAGGGAAUGGAGAUGACCUGGCCAAAGAAGCCAUGCUUGACCUCAGGACUUGACCACUUCACGUCAAGGCCCAGCGUAGCAUCUACAGAAGAGGAAGUGACUGACCCAUUGGGAAAUCAAUAAACUCCCUGUCUCAACUGAGGGGAACCAAUCCCCUUUCCAAGCAGUUAGCUCUUCGUCCCCUCCAUUUGUGACCUCAGAAAUGCCUCCUGCUUUUUGUCAAAAGGCAACUCUGGCUAGGCCCCGAGUGUGUGGAUCGUUGACACAAGCUUCUCUUCUUUAUAAAAAUACCAAAGAAUUCACUGGCGAUUGGUUUCCAGCAAGGUGUUGCUCUUCGAUGGAUGGCCUCUUAUUACCACGUGUUGCUACAUCAAAGACUUAACAUCUCCCCCUUUGCCAGGCUGAGCAAUCCUUUUCUCAUUAGCAAAUGCCGUCAGACCCACAGUGGCACAACCGCAGGAGGCUGUGACUGAGAGCUGUGAAGGUACCUGGUGGGCCGCGGAGACAAGAGGUAAAGCCCCUCCGACGUGGGUCAGGUCUCACACCUAAGCCCAGGAAUUAGCCUAACAUCCUCAGGACCCUUUAGCGGGUUAUGCCUGUGCUGCUCCCAGAUGGAGCACGCUCCUUCUCAUUGCCCCCUGUGUCAUCAUGUGCCGUGCUUAUCUUUACAAUUAAACAGGGCCUGAAAAAAGAAAUAAAUUAAGUUAAAAAUAAAUAAUAAAUAAAUAAGUAAUAAAUAAAUAAAUAACAAUUAAAUAGGGCCUGAACCACCUUUACAAAUCUGGUAUUUGGGAAAGUGGUAAUAACAGGUACCAGGUUUUGUUUUGCUCUGUGCCCAGCACUGCCCUGAGUGAUCUAUGCACAUUAACUCAUCUAAAGCUUCACACCCACAUCCCCGCUUGUAAGAAAGCCUCCUUUUAUUAGCCUUAAUUGAAAGAUGAGGAAACAGAAAUACAGACGGGUUAGGAAUCUGCCCCGGGUCACACAGCUACAAAGCAGCAGAGGCAACAUUUGAACCCAGACAAUCCGGCGCCAGAACAUCUGCUUUUAACCAUUCUGUGUGAUUUAAUUCACUCUCUCUGUGAUUUUAUAAACUUUUAUCAUAUCCCCCUCCGCCUCCAGACUGCCAGCAUAUUUUUAAUUGCCUCUUUGUGAGAAUUUGCUGGGGUUUUCUCCUCUGCUUUCUCCUGAAACUUCUCGGAGUCCUUUAGGUCCUCACAUGGCCUCCCUCCCUGCUGGAUCUUCCACGUUUGGGAUGGGAUCAAAACCUCCCCUGUUUCCAGAAUGCUCCCAGGUAGUGCUCUAAACUUGGUCCGUGUUUUGGUCACUGCUGCAGGCAGCAUGGAAGAGCCUAGGGCAGCUGCAUUACCCAGACCUCAACUCGUUCACCAUCCCUUCCCAGCGCCUGGGACAAGUGAGCUCAGCAAGUGCCCGGUGAAUGAAUAAACGAUCAGAGGAA